rnacentral:rRNA from 1 species
GUAUCCUUACCUGAAUACAUAGGGUAAGGAGGCGAACCGGGGGAACUGAAACAUCUAAGUACCCCGAGGAAAAGAAAUCAACCGAGAUUCCGAAAGUAGCGGCGAGCGAAAUUGGACUAGCCCUUAAGCUUUACACGCGUUAGACGAACGGUCUGGAAAGUCCGACGAUACAGGGUGAUAGUCCCGUAGUUGACGACGUGUGUUCAGUGAAAUCGAGUAGGGCGGGACACGUGAUAUCCUGUCUGAAUAUGGGGGGACCAUCCUCCAAGGCUAAAUACUACUGACUGACCGAUAGUGAACCAGUACCGUGAGGGAAAGGCGAAAAGAACCCCUGUGAGGGGAGUGAAAUAGAACCUGAAACCGUGUACGUACAAGCAGUAGGAGCACCUUCGUGGUGUGACUGCGUACCUUUUGUAUAAUGGGUCAGCGACUUAUAUUCAGUGGCAAGGUUAACCAUCUAGGGGAGCCGUAGGGAAACCGAGUCUUAACUGGGCGUUCAGUCUCUGGAUAUAGACCCGAAACCAGGUGAUCUAGCCAUGGGCAGGUUGAAGGUUGAGUAACAUCAACUGGAGGACCGAACCGACUAAUGUUGAAAAAUUAGCGGAUGACUUGUGGCUAGGGGUGAAAGGCCAAUCAAACCUGGAGAUAGCUGGUUCUCCCCGAAAGCUAUUUAGGUAGCGCCUCGGACGAAUACUACUGGGGGUAGAGCACUGUUAAGGCUAGGGGGUCAUCCCGACUUACCAACCCUUUGCAAACUCCGAAUACCAGUAAGUACUAUCCGGGAGACACACGGCGGGUGCUAACGUCCGUCGUGGAGAGGGAAACAACCCAGACCGCCAGCUAAGGUCCCAAAUUACUACUAAGUGGGAAACGAUGUGGGAAGGCUCAGACAGCCAGGAUGUUGGCUUAGAAGCAGCCAUCAUUUAAAGAAAGCGUAAUAGCUCACUGGUCGAGUCGGCCUGCGCGGAAGAUGUAACGGGGCUAAGUAGUAAACCGAAGCUGCGGCAAU